GCCUCCUAUUCACACUGCAACACUGAACGUUAGCGCCUUCUUAGUCUUUCUUUAUACGUCACACUUACAAAUAACUUCCAUAAUGAGUGUCUUUUUUUCGACGGGUUUGGUAAUCGUACUCUUAGUUUGGACUUCUUUAACAGCAUACUUCGCAGAAGCAGGAGGUCCAAUAGUUGGCCCUGCAGCAGAAUCUGUUGCUGGUAGAGUGAUUGGCUGAGAAGGGAUUUGGAGAAAAUUUUGGGUUUAGUGGAUUAAUUUUACCGCAUCAAAACCCUUACAAUAUUCAAAUUAUUUAUUACUGUAAAAAUUCGUUAUCCGUGUAAAAUAUUUAUUAUCACAUCUGAGCUGCAGUUGUUCUCAAUUUUUGUAAACUUUCAUCAUAAUAAAUGUGCAGUACUGAAGUUUAAAAUCUGUACUGUUUAUACUCUUGUA